GAUGAAGAACGCAGCGAAAUGCGAUACGUAAUGUGAAUUGCAGAAUUCAGUGAAUCAUCGAAUCUUUGAACGCAUAUUGCGCUCUCUGGUAUUCCGGAGAGCAUGCUUGUUUGAGUAUCAGUAAACACCUCAACUUCCAUAUCUUUUUUGAAAUGGGAGUUGGACUUGAGUGAUCCCAACGCUUUUCCUCACCGAAAAGUGGCGGGUUACUUGAAAUGCAGGUGCAGCUGGACUUUUCUCUGAGCUAUAAGCAUAUCUAUUUAGUCUGCCUAAAAAACAGAUUAUUACCUUUGCUGCAGCUAACAUAAAGGAGAUUAGUUCUUGUGCUGACUGAUGCAGGAUUCACAAAGACAGGCUUCGGCCGACUUUGUAAACUCGAUCUCAAAUCAAGUAAGACUACCCGCUGAACUUAAGCAUAUCAUAAGCGAGGA
rnacentral:misc_RNA from 1 species